GCCCUGGUGGCGGAAUUGGUAGACGCGCACGUUUCAGGUGCGUGUGCAGCAAUGCGUGAAGGUUCGAGUCCUUUCCAGGGCA
rnacentral:tRNA from 1 species